rnacentral:rRNA from 2 species
CGGAGCGUGUGGUUUAAUUCGAUGCUACACGAAGAACCUUACCAGGGCUUGACAUGCCGCUGACCGGUGCAGAGAUGCAUCUUUAUCCUUCGGGGUACAGCGGACACAGGUGGUGCAUUGGUUGUCGUCAGCUCGUGUCGUGAGAUGUUGGGUUAAGUCCCGCAACGAGCGCAACCCUUGUCUUUAGUUGCCAUCAUUAAGUUGGGCACUCUAAAGAGACUGCCGAUGACAAAUCGGAGGAAGGUGGGGAUGACGUCAAAUCAUCAUGCCCUUUAUGUCCUGGGCUACACACGUGCUACAAUGGUCGGUACAACGAGAAGCAAGCCAGCGAUGGCAAGCAAAUCUCUAAAAGCCGAUCCCAGUUCGGAUUGCAGGCUGCAACUCGCCUGCAUGAAGUCGGAGUUGCUAGUAAUCGCGGAUCAGAAUGCCGCGGUGAAUGCGUUCCCGGGUCUU